rnacentral:rRNA from 1 species
GACGAACGCUGGCGGCGUGCUUAACACAUGCAAGUCGAACGCUGAAGCUUGGUGCUUGCACUGGGUGGAUGAGUGGCGAACGGGUGAGUAAUAAGUGAGUAACCUGCCCUUGACUCUGGGAUAAGCCUGGGAAACUGGGUCUAAUACUGGAUACGACAUGUCACCGCAUGGUGGUGUGUGGAAAGGGUUUUACUGGUUUUGGAUGGGCUCACGGCCUAUCAGCUUGUUGGUGGGGUAAUGGCUCACCAAGGCGACGACGGGUAGCCGGCCUGAGAGGGUGACCGGCCACACUGGGACUGAGACACGGCCCAGACUCCUACGGGAGGCAGCAGUGGGGAAUAUUGCACAAUGGGCGGAAGCCUGAUGCAGCGACGCCGCGUGAGGGAUGACGGCCUUCGGGUUGUAAACCUCUUUCAGCACGGAAGAAGCGAAAGUGACGGUACGUGCAGAAGAAGCGCCAGCUAACUACGUG